ACUUGCAGCUAGCUACUCAUGACUAAGUGCCUAAAUUUAGAUGUUCAUCAUCAUCAGUGUUGCAAGAUACUGUAAAGUUUGAUCCCCGAGAGGCUGACCCCUGAAGGACCUGGUGGGAUACCUGUUAGCCCGGGACAUGUUGAAGCCUCACAACUCCAUCUCCUGGUAUUGGAUGCUGAAGAGAAGACCUGUCUCAGAAAAAGGGAGCAAAGAUUUGUGGCCUUUAAAACACUGCCUCAGUAUGCUGUGCAAACCCUUAUUGUGAUAAUAAUUGUCUUUUGGAAUUUGUGUACAGAACACUAAAGAUAGGAAGGAGCUCUCUGACAACUCACCUGUUUGAGCAGGGCUGCAGAAUGCAGUUUGGAAGAACAGUGCUCCACCAUUCAAGACAUGUUGGUUUGGAAGAAAGUUCUGUCUUGAGGUGGGACAGGAAAACUGCUGAAGUGUUUCAUAGCCAAUGCUCAUUUUGCUUCUUUUGUCUGAAGACAGUGAUGUUGUCCUCUUAUCCUGCUAGAAAACUAAAGCUUACAUCACUUCCAGCUUGCAAGCUAAGUGCAUAUAUGCAUAAAAUUCUAAAUGCCUUAAGAAACAGUAAUGUCAUGGCAUGGGAGGUUUAUAAAAAAUAUAAAACAGCUCAGAAAGGGUUAUUGUGAAAUGAUUAGUGCCUCUGACACUUCCAGUUACAAGACCUAGGAGACAUAUAAUUACAUCAGUAGGUGGAAAGUUCAAAAUGAUGGAGGUGUUUUUACAUAUCAUGUGGAUAAUCUGCAUAACCCCUUGAGUCUGGAGGCUGUGAAUACUGAGAAUUCACAUGGCUUCAAAAAAACAACCAGAGAAAUUCAAUGAAGAAACCACCAGCAUCCAUUAAAAGUAAAGACAACACCCCUUGUUCAGAAAGUCUGAGCUGCACGUUCUUGAGGCAGGGAAAGAAGCUGGGGGAAAGACGACUCCCUUCUUCCCUCUUGUGCUGUUCAGCUGCUGUUGGCAACAGUCAGGAACAUGGCACAGCACACAACAAACCCAUGGUCUGACUCAGUAAAACUCGUCUUGCAUUCUUAUGUCAUGCUACAUUAUUGAAUAGAAUCAUAAAACUACUGUAAAGACCCAUUGUAGCUGAGAAAGAUGAAGGGCUGGAGAACCUGCUCCAUGACUCAUUUCUUUACUUUGGUUGUUCAUUGGAGUGGUUUUUUACACCAUAAGUGUUGUAGGUCUGGACCAUUAUGUAUUUCUUUUUCAAUCAUUGCUGAAAUCUUAAGGAAUUUGCUAAGGUGUGGCAGUGGUUGAAUAGAAACCUCACAGUUUCCCCAGGGUUUUUUCACAAAGAUCCAUGGCACGUACAAGCAUCUUGAAAUGGAGCAUCCAUUUGUUUGAUUAUGCUCCAAGCCAACAAAAGAGCCAGAUAAAGCUAAAACAAUUUGCAUUAUCUGAAGCUUACAUAUAUGUAAUCUUGUCAAAUAAAAGCCACAACAAGCUUGGUAGAACAAAGGACAGAGGGAGAUCCUUAUGCUGGUUGUAGAGGGAACAGCUAAAGCCUUGAUCCCUCCUAUCAAAGGCAGUAUGUUCAAAAAAGCUGGGAAAGAUGCCCAUGUUCAAGCAAAUUUUUACUUGCCUGUAACAUAAAGCAAGUUAUUGUCAUGGUAAAGUAACAGGCUUUAAAAAUGGUAGAAAUGUGCAUAUAUGUAUAUGUACAUACUCAUAUGUUAUAUACACAUGUAGUUAUUAUCCCUUACAAGAGGAAAGCAUAUUAUCAUAUGAUUAUCCACAGUGAGGGGCUGCUGGAGAGCUCGAAGCUCUCUGUGUUCUUGCACUUGCAGAGCUCUCCGCUGCAGCCCAAAGGUCCUUCCCACUGUAUGCUCUUUGCCUUCCUAAAUUCAAAUCUAUUGCUUUAAAAAGAAGUUAUUUUGCAAAGCACAAAGAUGUAUUUUAAUAAAAUAGUUCUAACCAAAUUGCUGACGGCAGGACAAUUCUGCAGCUUCACAAUAGGAACUGUAGGGUUCCUGCUGCCUGAUAAACACAUGAUAAAUUGCAAACCUCCUGCUUCUAUCCCACAAGCUCAGAGUGUUGAGUGAUCACCAUUGUUUCUCUGAUUUAUUUUCAUGCCUACUGGUGCCCAUAUAAAAUCUCAGUCUAUUUAUGCUCAGGCUUCCUCCAAUUUUUUCAUGGAUUAUGUAGCACAACGAUCAGAUUGACAAUUAAUGUAAACAUAUAUCACGGAUGUGAAUUACAUUUUAAUUCUCUGAGUCCAUCACAUCUGUCAUCUCUAUUUGUGUGAUUGCCUUAGCUAUCUGACUAUUAACUCCACCAGCACGGCUCUAGAGAACUGUUUGCUCAGGCUUCCACAAGACCUGGGUCUGCAGAGUUCUUAUAUUUACAUAAAUGAAAAAUCUUCUGGUUUCACCCAAAUUUUGCAUUGUUGUUCAUGCGAAAAAAGUAAGGGGUUAAACCUGUUGCUGUUGCUUGAGUAUGCCUGGAAGGUACCCUCAAGCACUGGUAACACACAAGGACUUGUUUUCACACAGAUCUCACAGCUCUUUCAACAGAUCCUUGGGGGCAGUGGUUGCUGGACUUUCACCACUGUUUAGACAAGGAAUUCGUGGAAUUUCGAUUAUUUGCAUGUAACUUUGGGGGAUCUUAACCAAAGUCCACUGAACAUAAGAGCCUGAUAAUGGCUGAGAUAGGAUUUGCUUACAGCUCAAGAGUGAAUUUCUUUGCCUUGAGCACUGUGAAAUCUUAAUUGAUCAGAUUAAAAAAUGCCAUCAUAAGAAAAACAAGAAGUAGAAAAGAGUAUGUAUCUGCAGACAUAGGGGCCUACAUGAGACCCUUGCAGUGCUAGCCAGUCUUUGUCUAAACUGCAACCCUGCCAGGCCAUAGGAAUAAUUUGAUGGCUUUUGUUCCUCAAUAAAGAGACUUGAACACCUUUGAACCUAGAAAAAAAGAACACAUCAACGAUUUCUUUCCAAGAUCCAUCAGUUAACCAGUUUUUAAUCUAUUUAGUAUGUGCUUCAGUGAUUCAGUUAAAUGUUUUAAUCGGGAUGUCAUGUUGUAUUAAGUGAAAGAACCUGUGGAAAUCUGUGUGUGUUAUGUCAGCUGUCACUUUUUAUUAACUAAGGCCUACCAAAAAUGCUAGCAAUAUUUUUCUAGUAAGUGCUAACAUUUAAAAAUUUACAUUUUACGAGGAUCCUAUUGCUCUCAUUAAAGAGUGCUGAUAGUGUUUACUGCAUCUGCAUCCCACAUUCAUCAAUUCUUUACAGUAACAUGCUCAAUAUAUGCUAUGGUUUUGCUCAGGAUCAAUGCUAGCCUAACAAGCCUGCCAUUAGCCAUGUAAUACCUUUUAGGCUUUUGAGCCCUUGCCCACCAUUAACAUUUCAGCUAUUCAAAUGCAUGCAUCGUUGUGCAGCAUCAAACACAGAGUACUUCCAUGAAAAGGUGCAUCUUCAUGAAGAUUGGUCGUUUCUGCAUGCAAAAAUUUCAGCUCUACCAAAAGCACUACCAAAGAUUUUGCAGAUAUAGUGAAGGUAAACAGCAUAUAUGCUAAAUUUUGAUGCAGUCUCUGGCUCAUAACACCUGCAGUUAAUGCUAGCAUUGUUCAGUGAAGUUUAAGAUGUGCAUACGUUGGUUAUCAUUCACACAGUAUUUUGAAUAUACAAAUAACACUACAUAAUUCUGCUGAUUUAGUAGAGACAGUAGAGACAUGAGCCACUCGAGGCAUUACAAGACCUUGGUGAGAAGAGGAAAACUCUAGCUCAAAGCUGAUGUCCUACGGUGACAAACAGGGUCCUGGUUCAUCAAACAAAACAAAAACCAAAACAAACAAACAAACAAAAAUACUACAACAAAAAACACCUUAUGAUUACUCAGACAUUUACAAAAUACUGUAAAGCCUAACUUGUGGCAUGACUACAAGAAAAGGACACAUGCAAUGACACUGAGCGAUCGACUCAAAUACGCUAUAAAAUAACAGUCCCAAAAUAGUAAACCUUGCGAUGAAUUAUUAAAGUUGCUUAUUUUAACAUUUUAUUUACUGAAUUUUGCAUUAUUAAAAUUACAAAUCAUCAACUCACA